UUUAAACCUUGACUCAUAAUCCAUAUAUUCAAUCCAUAAUCAUUAAUCCAAUUUCCAAACAUAAUCCAAAUUCCAAUUUUAACCAUGUCAAAUUCGAUAACAUACAUUACAAUAACCAUACAUUUAAUUCAAUCUCCAAUUAUAAACCAACAUACAAUCUCAAUUUCAAAAUUAUAAAGAUUACAACAUGACAUCUUAAGAAUGUGUGAUUUGACCUAACUCAACCCUACAAAACCAGUUGGUAGAGUGAGGACUGCCUCUAUAUUGUCCGAUGUGGGACUCUUAACACACCCCUCACGCCCAGGACUGGACAUCUGGAGCGUGGAAAUAAAUGGUGGAUGGCCCGAUAGCGGAAAUCAUAAUAGGUGGCCCACCGAAUCUUAAACCAGACUUUGAUACCAUGUUAAGAAUGUGUGGUUUGGGUCUAACUCAACCCUACAAAACCAGUUGGUAGAGUGAGGACUGCCUCCAUUUAUAAACACAUGUUCAGACCAUAUAUUGUCCGAUGUGGGACUCAUAACAUGACAUGUCCUAGCAGCUCAAAUCCAUUCCAAUGGCUCAAGCACAUGCCAAGCAGCUCUGAUUCAUAACAUUCCACAAGCAAGCCAUCCUAAUCCUGAGUUAGAGCAGCAUUAAGUCAUUUUCACCAUAGCAUGAAAACAACAUCUCCAUGACAGUCAAUGAACACCAAGACCUGCAAAAUCCAAGCUCAAUUUAAAUCCAUCAUAUAUGACAUAAAGCAUAAAACCAAUGACCCUGCAUCACAAUUGAAACAUAGCAAAGAACUCCAAGCAAUUUAACCUGGAGAGUUUAAUUCAGAACUCAGCUCCCUUGGAAAAAUAACCUCACCACAAAACUAACAAUUCAAAACAAACCCCUUAUAACACCCUUCUCACAGCGAACCAGCAUUUUCAACUGACUUUAUAACUAACUUCUCUUAUCAUCUCCUAACAAGCUAACUGAUUCCUCCAACCAUACAACUAACUUCUAACUGUUUUUUGUAACUGCUAACAACUUGUAACCACCUACUAAAAAAUUAUAACAGACUAAAACAAAAAUCUAACAGAAAAGCCACAAUCAUAUAAAAGCAAUUUGACUGCAACUUCACUAUCACCUUUUUCACCAAUCUCAGAAAACGAUUACAAACAGAAACUCGCUGCACUUUGCACGAUCUUCCUCACUCAUCACUCUCUCACUUUGGCACGAUCUCAGAACAAUUCAAUUUUCACUCCUCUCAAACCACACUUCAACCUACAUUUCUCAUCAACAACACAUGCAUUUGAGAUUAGGAGUCAGGGUUCCUCGAUUUGCUUCUUCGAUUCGAGCGAAUUGUGAGGAGUUAGAAAAUUCUAUGGCUCGAUUAGGACUUAGGGCUCGAAACUGAGUGAGGUGAUGCUAUUUAAUUACAUUUUGGAGAACCUCUUCCGCCAAGGAUAACCUCUGGUGCGACAGAGGUGAAACAAAAGUAGAAAUGUGAAACGAAUAGAGACAAGAGAGAUACGCGUGUGGAGUUUCCUUUUAUUCACAUGCUUAU
rnacentral:lncRNA from 1 species